rnacentral:lncRNA from 1 species
UGCGGGUUCAAAAAAGCCCUAAAAAGAGCUUUUUGGACGGCCUUUUUUGCUUUAGGUCCCUUCCCCAGUGCAGUCUUACCUGCCCUGAAGCUGGUCUCCGCAGCAACGACCGUUUCAAAACAACCGUUUUGUUUUUGUUUCAAAAAAACCGUUUCGUUUAAAAACAGCAGGCAUUAGCAUACCCUAUUUCCCUUUGACCUGAGGAGACUGCCCUAGGGGGAUAAAGUGAAGUAUUAGUAAGGUUAGUGUUAGAGAAAGGAAAAACUCUCCAGGUCCCAUUCACAUUGCUCCAACUCCCUCAGUAAUUGGUAGUGCAUCCUCUCUCCAGAACCCUGCUCAGGAUCAGCAGCACGGCCACUCCCCUUCUCUGGAGAGGUCACUGCCGCUUGCAUUGCUUUAGAAAUUGAAGGGGGAGGAAAGUUAUCUGAGGGAUCCCACGUAGGAUCUUUCUGCUUCUCUUUCCUUUUUCUUUUGAACUUCCACUCCUUCUUGUGAGGAACUUGUUUUACUUCUUGCACCCAUUAAGCGACAGAAGCCAGUUCUGUUUCAGAAAAAGGAGUCUGUUUAUAGUGUUGACGUAUAAAUUCAAGGUCUGACAGGCCCAAUCUUCGUCAGACCCCUAUUUUGGUCAAAAUAAUGAUUUUCCCUGUAGUGGCUCUCUAGGCUAUGUCUGUAUACAGUAUUUAAACAUCUUUGCCCCGCUCUUCUCCCAAGUUUUGGGAUUAUUUUCCAAUUCUGAAGCCUCAUUCCCGAGGGGCUAUCUCUAGGCACGAAUUUGAAGUCCUGCCAGCUCAGGACUUUCUGCUUGGGGCCCGAGGACUGCUGAUUUGGGUCCUUUGAAGUGAUAACCUCGCUGACCCUGUACCGGAUCCAUCUGGGGCGUUCAGAAUGGCCUAGCUGGUGGGGCCAGUUGGAGGCACGGCGCUGGGCAUUAAUGCGCAGCUGCUGCUCCUGGGAUGCCAUCUUCUGGUCCCCAUCCUCCAUUGUUACACGGCAAGUGGCUAAGCCAAACCAGCAGGGCCGGCUGGAGGUCCUGCUCUCAACAGGAUGCUCCUGCUGCUGAGGAAGGUCUGGCUUUUUGUCCCCACUACAGAUCCAGGCAAAAUAGCUGCAACAGCUGGAGCCGAAUCCAGCAAGUGGGGAUGUGGUGUCUGCAGAGGGGUUAUUCCUGUUCCGUGUAUCUUGCGCUGCCUGCCUCUUCUGCAUGCUCCUGCACGCUUCCCGGUGGGACUGGAAGAGGGUCCUCAGGUGCCUCUCCAUUGAGUCUAUGUUAGCCUCCAUGUGGCAGAGCAGGUCAGAAACACUGACGUCCGCAUUUCCCUGGUGCUCUGUUCUUCUGGAGGCUGAGGCUGUUGGUCCCGUUUCCUAAAAGUGACGGAGCACAGUGAAAGGGAUGCAGACUCAUUUUGCAGAGCAUUCCCCUGCAGGGCUCCGAUUCCUGUGCAGCUUUUCCUGCCUCGCAGGACUGCCCGAAGCAUGGGGCU